rnacentral:rRNA from 1 species
AGCUCCAAUAGCGUAUAUUAAAGUUGUUGCGGUUAAAAAGCUCGUAGUUGGAUCUGCGGCCUCGGAUGCCGGUCGCCCACAGGGUUGAACUGGUUUUCCAGGCCUACCUUGCUGGUUUUCCUUUGGUGCUCUUAAUCGAGUGCCCUAGGUAACCAGUACUUUUACUUUGAACAAAUUAGAGUGCUCAACGCAGGCAUGUUGUCUGAAUAUAUCAGCAUGGGAUAAUGGAAUAGGACCUUGGUUCUAUUUUGUUGGUUUUCGGAACGCGAGGUAAUGAUUAAGAGGAACAGACGGGGGCAUUCGUACUGCUACGUUAGAGGUGAAAUUCUUGGAUCGUAGCAUGACGGACAACUGCGAAAGCAUUUGCCAAGAAUGUUUUCAUUAAUCAAGAACGAAAGUA